ACAACCAUAAGGGUUUAGUUAUACAAUUAAGACAGAGAAGAAAACUACGAUUUGGAGGUGUUCCAUCUUCACCCAGCAGAACCCGGUAUACACACGGCUACCAAGAUAAAAGUUACAGCAAAGCAUGAAGCCAAAGGAAAUGUUUUUACCAAGUCAUGUUCCUCAAUAGCGGAGAGAGUUUUAUCCAGUGUCGGUUCUGCAGAAGAACCCAUUCAUAGCAGACCACCCAUGACAGCACUUGUAAGGUCGCUACAAAAGGCUAAUGUGACAUAGAACAAGGUCACAUUGAUGUUUACAAAUACGUAAGACGAUAUGAACAUCAACUAAAAAGAUAUGUAAUGUGAUUCAGCUGUAAGGUGAGACAAGUCUGAAAAGGCUAAUGUGACAUAGAACAAGGUCACAUUGAUGUUGACAAAUACGUAAGACGAUAUGAACAUCAACUAAAAAGAUAUGUAAUGUGAUUCAGCUGUAAGGUGAUAUAUGCAUAUAUGCAGCAUAGAUAAUUAAAACUUCUAUUCAAGUUAAACCAACUGUAUCUAUUUAUUUAAGUCUUACGUCGAGCUGAAUACAUUUUAUGAUUUAUUG